AGAGCAAAGGGAAGGGCACAGAGAGUGUGCAGGGUGGUCCUUGUCCCUGCCCAAGCUGCAAGAGGCUCUGCGAAGGUCCCUCCUGCCCCUGUCCACCUUGCACAGUCCUAGCCGGGGGAGGAGGGGAGAAAUCUGGCGUGCCAGGAGCUGGCAACUGCCCAGCCCUUCCUGGAUGUGGGACUGAGGAGUCCGUCCUGAACCGAAGCAUGAUCCUGUUAGCUCUUCCAGCUCUCCAGGCGCCAACGACCAUAUGGUCUCGGUGACCCAGGCCUGCCCAGACGGAAGCCAUUCAGACCCAGAGCCACGUGUCCUGGGUCUCCCUGCCCCGGGCCACCCGCCACCACACCCCAGAGCUUGCUCACCACCGGGAGGCGCUCUUGUCCUGGACCAGCCUAGCCUGGGUUGGGACCUCCAGCCAGGCCAGUCAGCGAGCCACCAGCCCCACCAGAGUGGAAUGACAGCCAGGACUCAGCUGGCAGCGGGCAGGAGGCCAGUCUUGUGGUGAUAUCCCAGCCGCAACUCUCUUCCUGCCCCUCCCCUGUCCUGACGGCAGCCCCCAGCUCUGUAGCUGAGCCAGGCUUGCGGGCCACGCGGGGUCCCGGGUUUAGGCACCCCACCCCUAUCUGUUCCAACAGACUCUCCCUCUCAGCCCAUGGCACAGAUGGCAUCUGAGCUAGCAGCACGCUGCUGCUUCAGGCAGGGGUUGAUAGGAGGUCCAGGUGGAGGAGUGGGUUCUCAGGACUGCCUUGGCCCCCCUGCACCGCUGCCCUCCUUCUCCCUGCCUCUCAGGUGCCUCCCGGCUCCCUGGGACUCACUCCCUCACCUUGGCCUCUGCCUGGGAUGCUACCCGGCCACCCCCACCAGCCCUGACACCAGUGCUGCCCACUAGCCCCUGCUGCUACAUAGGCAUGCGCCUCCCCCAGUCUGGGCUCCUUGACCCCCGGGCACUGGGGAAGGGGAACAAGGAAGCAGUCCACACCAGCCCACUCCCAGGGCUCGUGCGCCCCCAGCAAGGGAUGGGCCACAGAAUCCAGGAAGAAGACGGGCUCCGGCCCCCAGUGGUCGCCAGCAGCCCCGUAGAAGCUCACCACCCCACCCCAUCCGACUCACUCCUGCUCUCAUGUACAUUUCCCAGCUCCCCACCCGGGCUCACCUUCAGACCAGCGGCAGCGCUCACCCACCACGCCUGCCAGGGAAGCUCAGUCCCAACAGAAUCCAGAGAGGGCCCACCACAUGUGCCUGCCUGUGACGGCCUGUGACAGGGCCCCAGCCAGGGCCAACGAGCUGGAGGGGCCCAAGGAGCUGGGUGCAGCGCUGGGGUAACAGGACAGCCCCACGGGGUGCUCCCGAGUCUGGACCAGACUCGGGGUGGGGAGGCC